GUCGUCGUGGCCGAGUGGUUAAGCGAAAGACCUGAAAUGUGUUGGGCUCUGCCCUCAUAAGUUCGAAUCCUGUCGGCGACG
rnacentral:tRNA from 1 species